UCGAUUUUAACAGCUCCAGCUCCAGCCCUUCCCUUUUCCCUAAAAAGAACAGUUACCUCUAAAAGACAGUCAAGUAAAAUUCUCUCCAGCUAAAGGGAACAAGAACAAGGGUUAUAUAGUCCAUUGAAAUUAAUACAGUCUCUCAGCUCUCAGGGCUGCAGAUUCCUACACAUGACCAGCCUUCAGUAGUGAACAAAAAUGGCAUCUAAAUCCCAAGUGACACUCUUAAGCACUUGGCAGCAGAAGGGCUCUUCUGAGGAAGAUUAACUUAAUGGAAGCAUUUGGGUAACAUCUGCAUGACUCUUCAUCCUGGUAAGGCCAACUCACACUGCAACAACACGUGAUGGAGGAUUUCUCUGAUUAUCACUUAAGAACAAAACUGGCUGAAGUUUCUUUUCAAGUACUGACCAGGGUGUCAGAGUACUUUUUGUCACAGAGGAUCCAAAAGGGGGAGAAUUAUACAGGAAUCGCUUCCUUCUCCAAAUUUGGGUAGUAUCAGUGACGGAACACAGCAGGGAAAGGAAGUUUAACUUCUACUUCAAGUAGUGUCCUUAUGGAUGUUGCACCUGACAAGUCUGUUGCACAAGACCCAGAAGGUGAACUGGAUAUAAACUAGAGUGAUCACCCUUUUCAUAUUGUGCUGGAUGAAUGAAAUAGAAAUGGUAAACAAACAGCAGAUGAACACGAGAAGUUUGGAUGAGGACUCAAUAAGUUUACGUUCAGUUCUCAACCCUGCCUGUGUGAUUGUGUGUCUAAGAUUGCACCUCCAACGUGGGUUUGAGUUAUGAGGCACAUGUACGUGUGCAUACAUCCACUAUACUGCUGCUCUUCCCCCCCAAGUCUGGUGAGCACUCUGGAAAUUUACAAGAAUCAUAUAUCCUUGGAAGUACUCUUGCAUAUUCUAAACCUUUCCACUGGCUCAUAUGAUUUCAACCUGCAGAGUGGAGGAAUGACAUUACAUGCAUAUGCAUGUUUAUAUGCAAAUUCCCAGCACAUCCAUGAACUAAAAACAAGCUCAGUACUCAGAGUUUAUUAGUGC